rnacentral:rRNA from 1 species
GCAAGUCGUACGAGAAAGUCCGCUUCGGUGGAUUAGUAAAGUGGCGCACGGGUGAGUAACGCGUGGAUAAUCUGCCCUGCAGUUGGGAAUAACUCAUCGAAAGGUGGGCUAAUACCGAAUAAUGCUGCACAACAUAAGUUGCACAGCCAAAGAUAGCCUCUGCUUGCAAGCUAUCGCUGAAGGAUGAGUCCGCGUACCAUUAGCUUGUUGGCAGGGUAAUGGCCUACCAAGGCGACGAUGGUUAGCUGGUCUGAGAGGAUGAUCAGCCACACUGGAACUGAGACACGGUCCAGACUCCUACGGGAGGCAGCAGUGAGGAAUCUUGCGCAAUGGGGGAAACCCUGACGCAGCAACGCCGCGUGAGUGAGGAAGGUCUUUCCGGAUCGUAAAGCUCUGUCAGGUGGGAAGAAAUGUAUGCAGGUUAAUAGCUUGCGUACUUGACGGUACCACCAGAGGAAGCACCGGCCAACUCCGUGCCAGCAGCCGC